AGUUAGAAAAAGAUGUCUUUGUUAGUGGUAGAAGGCAGAAGCUUCCAGACCACUCGACUGUGAGUGCCUCUCGGAGCUGGAAGUGUCCUUGGAGAGCAUGACGCCUGGCUCUCUCUUCUCACUGAUAAGGAAACAGGCCCCCGAGGCAGGAAUCAGCUUGGUGAGGUCCCCGCGGGCUCGAGGCGGAGGUUUGGAACCACCACACUGGACCACACGUUUUAACUGGCAUUCCUGUGGCGAGACCAAGGCUCAGAGAGGGUUGUCGCUUACCCAGAGUCACCCAGCAUAUCAACAGCAGAUGUCCUGACGCCCAGCUCAGUUCUCCCCACUGAGCAUCCCUUGUUGAGCCUCGUCCGUGGUUAGCAGGGAGAACUCCACUGACAAAUGUGGUGGGAUUUCUUUGAGCCUCCUUUGCGUCUGGGCUUCUCAAGGACUUUCCACAGAAAAGAACAUGCUGUUUGAACAACCAUCUGCUUUAAAGACUGGAAGGGGUGGCGAGGGGUG